rnacentral:rRNA from 1 species
UGGGGAAUAUUGCACAAUGGGCGCAAGCCUGAUGCAGCCAUGCCGCGUGUGUGAAGAAGGCCUUCGGGUUGUAAAGCACUUUCAGCGAGGAGGAAGGUGGUGAACUUAAUACGUUCAUCAAUUGACGUUACUCGCAGAAGAAGCACCGGCUAACUCCGUGCCAGCAGCCGCGGUAAUACGGAGGGUGCAAGCGUUAAUCGGAAUUACUGGGCGUAAAGCGCACGCAGGCGGUUUGUUAAGUCAGAUGUGAAAUCCCCGGGCUCAACCUGGGAACUGCAUUUGAAACUGGCAAGCUAGAGUCUCGUAGAGGGGGUAGAAUUCCAGGUGUAGCGGUGAAAUGCGUAGAGAUCUGGAGGAAUACCGGUGGCGAAGGCGGCCCCCUGGACGAAGACUGACCGCUCAGGUGCGAAAGCGUGGGAGCAAACAGGAUUAGAUACCCUGGUAGUCCACGCUGUAAACGAUGUCGAUUUUGGAGGUUGUGCCCUUGAGGCGUGGCUUCCGGAGCUAACGCGUUAAA